rnacentral:rRNA from 1 species
CACGUAGGAGGCAAACGUUAUCCGGAUUUACUGGGCGUAAAGCGCGUGUAGGUGGUUCUGUAAGUAGGGCGUGAAAGCUCCCGGCUCAACUGGGAGAGGCCGUUCUAAACUGCAGAGCUAGAGGAUGGUAGAGGGAGGUGGAAUUCCAGGUGUAGCGGUGGAAUGCGCAGAUAUCUGGAGGAACACCAGUGGCGAAGGCGGCCUCCUGGACCAUUCCUGACACUCAGACGCGAAAGCUAGGGCAGCAAACGGGAUUAGAUACCCGCGUA